rnacentral:rRNA from 1 species
AUUGAACGCUGGCGGCAUGCCUUACACAUGCAAGUCGAACGGCAGCACGGGAGCAAUCCUGGUGGCGAGUGGCGAACGGGUGAGUAAAGUAUCGGAACGUGCCCAGUCGUGGGGGAUAACGUAGCGAAAGUUACGCUAAUACCGCAUACGAUCUAUGGAUGAAAGCGGGGGAUCGCAAGACCUCGCGCGAUUGGAGCGGCCGAUAUCAGAUUAGGUAGUUGGUGGGGUAAAGGCUCACCAAGCCGACGAUCUGUAGCUGGUCUGAGAGGACGACCAGCCACACUGGGACUGAGACACGGCCCAGACUCCUACGGGAGGCAGCAGUGGGGAAUUUUGGACAAUGGGCGAGAGCCUGAUCCAGCCAUGCCGCGUGCAGGAUGAAGUCCUUCGGGUUGUAAACUGCUUUUGUACGGAACGAAAAGGUUUGGCCUAAUAAGCUGAGCUCAUGACGGUACCGUAAGAAUAAGCACCGGCUAACUACGUGCCAGCCGCCGCAGUAA